CUCCCUCUCUCUCACACAGAGGCGUUUUCUCUGUGGUCAGCUGUACUCAGGAAACUCUCUAAGCUCUGACUCAAACUCAAACCAAAAACAGUCCACCACUCGGCUCCUGAUCUCACCAUCUGAGAGAGAAGAGGAGUGAGAGAAGAGAGGAAGAGAGAAAGGGAGAGGAGAGAGAUCAAACAAACAAGGAGAGAAACCGAGAGAGAAGAAACGGGGUUUGCAGCUCCAUACCUCUGCUCCUGAUCUGACCAUCUGAAAGAGAGAGAGAGAGAGACAGAGAGGAGUAGGGGAAGAGUGAAGGAGAGGAGUGAAGGAGGAGAGGAGGAGAGAAGAGUGAUAGAGGGGAGAGAGACAACACGAGGGGGAGGAGUCUGAGGAGGAUCACUGCAACGCCGUUAGCCACAGCCUUGACCCCUGACCUUUGACCCUGAGCACAGACGCAGAUGCCCUGAGUCCCAUCUCUGAGUCAAACAUGAGAGCCCUGAGGUCAGCUGACCAGCUCCUGCUGCUGAGCCCAAAGCCAGGAUCAAGACCAGAAGAGUGUUUUCUGUGGCAGUGCCCUCUGUCUGAUCCUCUCAGUCUUUAACAGUUUAAGACUAGACUGAAAACCC
ensembl:lncRNA